rnacentral:lncRNA from 1 species
GGAAAUUUCCAGACACGAGUCCAGCGUGUGACUGGGAGCGCACCUUUCUUGUUUGUCCUUUUCUACUGAUGAAGCUAUUGUCCGGUUUAAAUUUGAUCGAUUAUUUAUGACAAAAACAACCUGAGGAUUGAUUAUAAACAGCGUUUGACAUGUUUCUACGAACUUUUAUGGUAAAAAGAGGAAAGAAAAUAAAGCACGGGGUCGACUCGUGCAUGCGCCUAAGCCCAUUGUCCUCUGAUCGGCCACUUGCCAAAAGCGUAAAUGUGUUUCAGCCUGGGGCUGCCUCGAUAUCAUUCAGCUUUUUCCCGGGCUCUGAGAGCCUAUGGGAGCCGUAGGAAGUGUCACGUUACAGCAAAGAUCCUCAGUCUUCAAUAAAAAGAGCCAAGAUGAACAACAACUUGUCAGACAGGCCACUUCCUUCGUUACAGAAUCCCCCACCAACAACGGACCAAGCAGCGGAGGAAGGAGCAGCGCCAGGAGGAGCAAGAAUCCUGGACCAGGGAGAGAAAAGACUGGACAUGGGAGGACAUCCUGGAAGGCAAGGGAUCCUACACUUGGGAGGAGAUCCUGGUCGGAAGGGAUCGCCUCACAUGGGAACAGGUAGAGGCACUCAGAAGAGUGGAGGCAGCAGGAAAAAAGGACCAAAUGUAUGAGGGAACACGGCUGGGUAGGAAGCCCGAGAGGCACACGGGGAGUGUGGCAGAGUCAGGUUGGAGACCUGAGCCAGCUCCCCGUGCUUACAGGAGGCAGCGCAGUACUGGUCAGACACCGUGUUAUGCGGUAAAGCGCACGGUGUCCCCAGUACGCGUGCAGAGCCCGGUGCGCUACAUCCCAGCUCCUAACAUCUGCCGGGGGAGGUUGGGCAUCGAGCCAGGGCAGGUUGUGCAGGCCGUGCGCUCUAGACCUCCAGUGCGUCUUCUGGACCCGGUCCGUCCUGUGCCUCCUCCUAGGACUAGGCCUCCAGUGGGUCUCCCUAUCCUGGUCUGUCCUGUG